rnacentral:rRNA from 1 species
CGGCGGCAGGCUUACCAUGCAGUCGAGCGGGGAAGGUAGCUAGGCUACCUAACCUAGCGGCGGACGGGUGAGUAAUGCUUAGGAAUCUGCCUAUUAGUGGGGGACAACAUUCCGAAAGGAAUGCUAAUACCGCAUACGCCCUACGGGGGAAAGCAGGGGAUCUUCGGACCUUGCGCUAAUAGAUGAGCCUAAGUCAGAUUAGCUAGUUGGUGGGGUAAAGGCCUACCAAGGCGACGAUCUGUAGCGGGUCUGAGAGGAUGAUCCGCCACACUGGGACUGAGACACGGCCCAGACUCCUACGGGAGGCAGCAGUGGGGAAUAUUGGACAAUGGGCGAAAGCCUGAUCCAGCCAUGCCGCGUGUGUGAAGAAGGCCUUUUGGUUGUAAAGCACUUUAAGCGAGGAGGAGGCUACUUAGAUUAAUACUCUAGGAUAGUGGACGUUACUCGCAGAAUAAGCACCGGCUAACUCUGUGCCAGCAGCCGCGGUAAUACAGAGGGUGCGAGCGUUAAUCGGAUUUACUGGGCGUAAAGCGUGCGUAGGCGGCUUUUUAAGUCGGAUGUGAAAUCCCUGAGCUUAACUUAGGAAUUGCAUUCGAUACUGGGAAGCUAGAGUAUGGGAGAGGAUGGGUAGAAUUCCAGUGUAGCGGUGAAAUGCGUAGAGAUCUGGAGGAAUACCGAUGGCGAAAGGCAGCCAUCUGGGCCUAAUACUGACGCUGAGUACGAAAGCAUGGGGAGCAAACAGGAUUAGAUACCCUGGUAGUCCAUGCCGUAACGAUGUCUACUAGCCGUGGGGGCCUUUGAGCUUUAGUG